rnacentral:rRNA from 1 species
UGGGGAAUUUUGGACAAUGGGCGCAAGCCUGAUCCAGCCAUGCCGCGUGCGGGAAGAAGGCCUUCGGGUUGUAAACCGCUUUUGUCAGGGAAGAAAUCUUCUGAGUUAAUACCUCGGGAGGAUGACGGUACCUGAAGAAUAAGCACCGGCUAACUACGUGCCAGCAGCCGCGGUAAUACGUAGGGUGCAAGCGUUAAUCGGAAUUACUGGGCGUAAAGCGUGCGCAGGCGGUUUUGUAAGACAGAGGUGAAAUCCCCGGGCUCAACCUGGGAACUGCCUUUGUGACUGCAAGGCUUGAGUGCGGCAGAGGGGGAUGGAAUUCCGCGUGUAGCAGUGAAAUGCGUAGAUAUGCGGAGGAACACCGAUGGCGAAGGCAAUCCCCUGGGCCUGCACUGACGCUCAUGCACGAAAGCGUGGGGAGCAAACAGGAUUAGAUAGCCCUGGUAGUCACGCCCUAAACGAUGUCAACUGGUUGUUGGGAAGGUUCCUUCUCAGUAACGUAGCUAACGCGUGAA